CGAGAUAAGAUUAUUCCACAUGCAGUUUCAUGGUUUACUGGGGAAGCUGCUCAGGAUGAAGAUUACAUUGACUUAGAAGAUGAUGAGGAUGAAGAAGAAGAUGAAGAUGAAGAAGAAGAAGAAGAUGAAGAUGAAGAUGAAGAUGAAGAUGAAGAUGAAGAGGAUGAGGAGGAUGAAGAUGAGAAGAAGAAGAAGAAGAAGAAGAUGAAGAUGAAGAUGAAGAUGAAGAUGAAGAUGAAGAGGAUGAGGAGGAUGAAGAUGAUGAUGAUGAUGAUGAACAUGUUACAAAGACCAAGAAGAAGGUAAUUGAACUGUUAGUAACACAAAUAUCAUUGUUAGUUGAGAUGUCCAUUAGUGCUAACCAUUUUCCUCUUUUUUGUUUCAA
rnacentral:lncRNA from 1 species